rnacentral:rRNA from 1 species
UACGAAGGGGGCUAGCGUUGUUCGGAAUCACUGGGCGUAAAGGGCGCGUAGGCGGCCUGAUAAGUCGGGGGUGAAAGCCCGUGGCUCAACCACAGAAUUGCCUUCGAUACUGUUAGGCUUGAGACCGGAAGAGGUAAGUGGAACUGCGAGUGUAGAGGUGAAAUUCGUAGAUAUUCGCAAGAACACCAGUGGCGAAGGCGGCUCACUGGCCCAUUACUGACGCUGAGGCACGAAAGCGUGGGGAGCAAACAGG